rnacentral:pre_miRNA from 1 species
UAAUUUUGCCCUAAGUCAAAUUUCUCUAAUUUUGACGAAGUCUAUAGAAAAAUAUAAGCACCUACAAUCCCAGACAGAUGCACUAACUAAUUUGGUGUUGUGGAUGUUGGUACAUUUUUCUAAAAAGUUGGUCAAAGUUAGAGAAGUUUGACUUAGGACAAAACUAA